GACGAACGCUGGCGGCGUGCUUAACACAUGCAAGUCGAACGGAAAGGCCUGCUUUCCCUUGUGGAUUGCGGGUACUCGAGUGGCGAACGGGUGAGUAACACGUGAGUGAUCUGCCCCCAACUUGGGUAUAAGCCUGGGAAACUGGGUCUAAUUCCCGAUAGGACUGCAGGGUGGUGCCUGUGGUGGAAAACGAUUUUCUAGUGGUUGGGGAUGAGCUCGCGGCCUAUCAGCUUGUUGGUGGGGUAAUGGCCUACCAAGGCGGCGACGGGUAGCCGGCCUGAGAGGGGGGACGGCCACAUUGGGACUGAGAUACGGCCCAGACUCCUACGGGAGGCAGCAGUGGGGAAUAUGGCACAAUGGGCGGAAGCCUGAUGCAGCGACGCCGCGUGGGGGAUGACGGCAUUCGGGUUGUAAACUCCUUUCGACCGCGAGGAAGCCACCUGGUUGGAAGGGUGGUGACGGUAGUGGUAGAAGAAGCACCGGCUAACUACGUG
rnacentral:rRNA from 1 species